GGGUGGCAUACAAAAGCCGAGUUGUUAACCCGAUACAGUCUUCCUACAUUAAAUUUGUAGUUUCCUGCUUGUGGUACUUUGAGAAAGUUCUGCAAGUCUCAAAAUACAAGACAUUAAG